CACCGGCGGCUCGAGUGGUGGCCACUUUUAUUGGGUCUAAAGCGUCCGUAGCCGGCUUGGCAAGUCCCCUGGGAAAUCUGGCGGCUUAACCGUCAGGCGUCCAGAGGAUACUGCCAGGCUUGGGACCGGGAGAGGUGAGAGGUACCUCAGGGGUAGGGGUGAAAUCUUGUAAUCCUUGAGGGACCACCAGUGGCGAAGGCGUCUCACCAGAACGGAUCCGACGGCAAGGGACGAAAGCUAGGGGCACGAACCGG
rnacentral:rRNA from 1 species